UGUCAUUUAUUUACAGAAAUUAGGUACAUAGUUCCAAAACAGUCAGCACUAAUAAAAACUACUUUGCAUUUUCUUACGAAAAAUUUUAAGAUUCCGUAUUUCCUCGUUUUGGCUCACACAUAUCACCAAGUUCUCAUAUCUAUAUAUAACGGCAUUUAAUGAACAUCUCCGAACAACCCAAAGAGAAAAUCUAUCAUACCUAAACACACGAGAUAUAUAGAUAUGGAGACUGUAGUGGUGAUUGUGGGAGCUUGGCCAGAUGGUAACAACAUCUGUUUGUCUAAACCAACACUCAAUCCCAAACGUGAUCCUCGAGAAAGAAGACAUCUAUGCAUCACUUGGGAAGAAAUGAGCUUAUGGUCAUCUCAAACUUCACUUAGCUAAAAAAAUUGCGAGCUUCCUUUCAUGAUGCACGGUCCCAAUGUUCCAAUCUUCAUGCCCAAAGAACUUUUCAUCAACUAGCUUUACACCUACAAAGUGACUCGCAAGCCGUAACUCCAGUCAUAUUGUCUUCCAUGAGUUCCUUCUACGGAGUGACUCAGCGUUGAUGGCAUUCAAUUAAUUCUCCCACUUUCUCCUCAUCAAUACAGAAGUUCUUAGAAUGGUGAUUACUCAGCUCCACUUGAUUUGAAGGCUGGUCGUCUCGAGGACAGAGUUGUCACAAGUCUCCUUCGUUUUUGAGAGGCUAGGAACGUUAAGAAAUCUGGGGAGCUUAUGAGUGUGGAUUUCAUCUUCCUCAAUGAGAAGUGCCGUCGAAAUUCCAAGAUUACGGGGAAGAAAGUCACAAUUGGUCUUAUCUCUGCAACCCCUCUGAACGAACACUACGGCGUUAAAACCUAGGUUAGAUCUUGAGCUUGGCGAGAUUCAUUUCUUGGACGCACUUCCUAUAAUUUUGAGUUUGGUGAUUGUAAUUAUAAACAGUUCCAGUUAUGGGAGAAAUUGUGAAAGUGCAUCGAUUUAGUAAUGUUUCGUGCUGUUUAUAUGCCUUGCCUACACGGACAGUAAAUCACGUGAUUAAUACACACCUUCUGGUGGCAAUCUCUAUCUUUUAGAUUUCUCUUUUGUAGGCUGCAUUAACUCUGCAAACUCAUACUUGGUGUGAGGCGGGAAGCUCGCAAGGUGUGAAGCGUGAAAGUGAAACUGAAACUGAUGCCUGACUCAGAGAACCGGCUUCUCUUCGAUUUCUUUUUUUUCUAUCAUAUAUAUGGCUUAACAAUCUUAUGCUUUUAGAAAAGGUUUGGAGGAAAAUCCAUGGUUACAGGAGAAAUAUAGAGCCACCACAUUUAAAACAAUUGGAGGCAAUGCAGGUUAAUAAGACAAGUUUCGGUUUUGAUUUGUCUCUCCACAUUAAUUUUUGGAAGCUACCAUUUUUCUACUUUGUCCCAGAGAAGAUUACUGGUUAGUAGUUCCGGUCACAGGUGAGGUAACAAUGGUGUGGAAAUCUCGAGAGUUCUUUUGUGGGUUCAAAAAGAAAACAUGGCAAUGGUGGUGAAACACAUCUCGAUGAGCUUAGCAAUGGAGACACGGGAAAACAGCUAUGGUUUCAAGAGGAGAGUUGACGUUUCAAGAUAUUCACGGUGCAGAGGCAUUGCUGAAUGAAGAAGAUGAGGACGGCUAUAGUUGUGAUUGGGAACCUGUGCAGCAGAAGAUGCCAGUUGAGUUUGUGAAAUGGUGUUGCUUCAGUUGCACUAUGGCAAAUCCUGGUGAUAUGGUUCAUUGUUAUGUAUAUUUUGCUUACUUUUUCAUGUUUGAAUACUUUUGUUUCUAAUCUUAUCAUUACCAGUAUCUGCAAUUAUUUUUCUGAGGCAUGGAUAUUUUGCAUCUCUGUUAUUUAAAAGACACUCGUCUCUCACAGAAGUCGAAGAGAAAUGUGGAGGAAAUUCAUCUGCAACUAGCUCGACAGCUGUUGGUUUCGAGGAGAUAAUGUUGUUGCACUCAGAAGUCUACGCUUCAGAGCAUGUUAAUAUCACAAGCCAGCUUCUCUAUAGCUACUUCACUGCCGACACAUACUAAUAAGUAUUCAGCACCUGCUGCUAGAAUAACAGCACGUCUGUGUGCUGAUCUAGCUAAAGAAAUUUUCUCAUGAUACUAUGUUAAUCAGCCGGGAACUUAGAAGGUCAUUAUGUUUAAGCUCAGUUUGGGUGACCCUGACAUGAACUGCUCACAAGUUCGACAAAGUAUGGGGGUGUUCAGAAAAUUUAAACUAUGACGGUCUCUGAGCUAAACGCUUAUGUCCUCCAUUGUUCCCCGCAUGUGCAUUCU